rnacentral:lncRNA from 1 species
UAAACCCUAAAUCCUAAACCCUAAACCCUUGGGUAAAUCCCUAAACCCUUGGAUAAACCCUAAACUCUAAAUAAAAAAACACUAAACACUAAACCCUAAACCCUAAACCCUAAAUCCUAAACCCUAAACCCUUAAGUGUUUUAGUGCUUAAUGAUUUUGAUUUAGAGUUUAAGAUUUAUCCAAGGGUUUAUGGUUUAUCCAAAGAUUUCGGAUUUAGGGAUUAGGUUUUAGGGUUUAGUGUUUUGCCGACGACGUUAAAAAUAUAUAUAUUUUUUAAUUACUAAUAUUUUUUAUUUAUUUCUUUUUACCUUUUAAUUUUAAAAACAUAAUAUAAUUUGACAAUUUUUUUUUUUUAAAAUAUAUCGAAUUUAAAAUAAUGAAAUCGUAUUGGUUGGUGAACAUAUAGGUUCACCUUAGGAGAUGGGUGAACCUUUAAAUUCACCCUAUCAUUUAAGACCAAUCAAAUUGACACAUAGAUUAUUAAUUAAAAAAAUAUUAAAUUAAAAAAAAAUAGCUACAAAAAAUAAAACGCUAAUUUUAACGACGCUAACGCUUGCAACUAAACCCUAUACCCUAAAUUCUAAACCCAAAUCCAAACUCCUAAACCCAAACCCUAUAUCCUAAACCCUAAUCUUAGACCCUAAACCCAAAUUAUAUACCCUAAACCCAAAUUAUAUACCCUAAACCCAAAAAAUAGACUGUAAACCUAAACUUUAUACCCUAAACCCAAGUAUUAGACCCUAAACCCAAACCGUAAACCUUAAACCCAAAUUAUAUACCUUAAACCCAAAACCUUAACCAUAA